UAGGGAAUCUUCCACAAUGGGCGAAAGCCUGAUGGAGCAACGCCGCGUGUGUGAUGAAGGGUUUCGGCUCGUAAAACACUGUUGUAAGAGAAGAAUGACAUUGAGAGUAACUGUUCAGUGUGUGACGGUAUCUUACCAGAAAGGAACGGCUAAAUACGUGCCAN
rnacentral:rRNA from 1 species